UUUAUUGGGCGUAAAGCGAGCGCAGGCGGUUAGAUAAGUCUGAAGUUAAAGGCUGUGGCUUAACCAUAGUACGCUUUGGAAACUGUUUAACUUGAGUGCAGAAGGGGAGAGUGGAAUUCCAUGUGUAGCGGUGAAAUGAGUAGAUAUAUGGAGGAACACCGGUGGCGAAAGCGGCUCUCUGGUCUGUAACUGACGCUGAGGCUCGAAAGCGUGGGGAGCGAACAGGAUUAGAUACCCUGGUAGUNCACGCCGUAAACGAUGAGUGCUAGGUGUUAGGCCCNUUCCGGGGCUUAGUGCCGCAGCUAACGCAUUAAGCACUCCGCCAGGGGAGUACGACCGCAAGGUUGAAACUCAAAGGAAUUGACGGGGGCCCGCACAAGCGGUGGAGCAUGUGGUUUAAUUCGAAGCAACGCGAAGAACCUUACCAGGUCUUGACAUCCCGAUGCCCGCUCUAGAGAUAGGGUUUUACUUCGGUACAUCGGUGACAGGUGGUGCAUGGUUGUCGUCAGCUCGUGUCGUGAGAUGUUGGGUUAAGUCCCGCAACGAGCGCAACCCUUAUUGUUAGUUGCCAUCAUUCAGUUGGGCACUCUAGCGAGACUGCCGGUAAUAAACCGGAGGAAGGUGGGGAUGACGUCAAAUCAUCAUGCCCCUUAUGACCUGGGCUACACACGUGCUACAAUGGCUGGUACAACGAGUCGCAAGUCGGUGACGGCAAGCUAAUCUCUUAAAGCCAGUCUCAGUUCGGAUUGUAGGCUGCAACUCGCCUACAUGAAGUCGGAGUCGCUAGUAUCGCGGAUCAGCACGCCGCGGUGAAUACGUUCCCGGGCCUUGUACACACCGCCCGUCACACCACGAGAGUUUGUAACACCCGAGGUCGGUG
rnacentral:rRNA from 1 species